GAAGGGUUAGUUAAAUCAUAACAUUGCCUUGUCAAGACAAAAUUACUAGUGGGACCCUUGUACCCUUCC
rnacentral:tRNA from 1 species